rnacentral:rRNA from 1 species
UAGUGGCGAACGGGUGAGUAACACGUGGGCAAUCUGCCCUGCACUCUGGGACAAGCCCUGGAAACGGGGUCUAAUACCGGAUAAUACUUCCUGGGGCAUCCUGGGGGGUUGAAAGCUCCGGCGGUGCAGGAUGAGCCCGCGGCCUAUCAGCUUGUUGGUGGGGUGAUGGCCUACCAAGGCGACGACGGGUAGCCGGCCUGAGAGGGCGACCGGCCACACUGGGACUGAGACACGGCCCAGACUCCUACGGGAGGCAGCAGUGGGGAAUAUUGCACAAUGGGCGGAAGCCUGAUGCAGCGACGCCGCGUGGGGGAUGACGGCCUUCGGGUUGUAAACCUCUUUCAGCAGGGAAGAAGCGUGAGUGACGGUACCUGCAGAAGAAGCGCCGGCUAACUACGUGCCAGCAGCCGCGGUAAUACGUAGGGCGCAAGCGUUGUCCCGGAUUUAUUGGGCGUAAAGAGCUCGUAGGCGGCUUGUUACGUCGGUUGUGAAAGCCCNGGGCUCAACCCCCGGGUCUGCAGUCGAUACGGGCAGGCUGGAGUGUGGUAGGGGGAGAUCGGAUUUCU